ensembl:lncRNA
CAUACAUGGCCUGCUGGGGCCCCUCAGCCUGGCCGGGGUACUGGGGGCCAGGAGGACCCAUCUGUUGGGGGGGCCCCCCGGACGUCAGCAUCCUCGCUCCCCCCUGAAGCAUCGAGUAAACUGGCUGCAAACAGAGAUUUGAUCCCUUGAAUUAGAGACUAACAGCUGGUCGUGAGCUGGAACGAGGUUACCUGUCCGUGGUAGUGGGGGGGCAGGGCCUGGAUCACCUGACCGUACUGCAGGUAGGACUGGGGGUACGGCGAGGCCACCAGGGGGGGGGCGGCGGCCGAGGCGGCGGCCGAGAUCAUGGAGGACGCCUGGGAGGUGUGGUGCUCCGGGCGCUGACCCCCCACCGGGCCUGGAAGGGAAAAACACACCAUCCCUGGGUAACAGUUCCCACAAUGCUUUGGGGGAUGAGGACAGGUAGGUCUCUCCCUGGAGGUUUUUAUCAGAAAUGAUGUCACAUAUCAGUUGAUCCAAACGUGACCCUUUUAUCCCCCCGUGUGACCGGACCCCCCGGACCCCCCCCGUGUGCGUACCUUUGGCUCUGGGGUAUUUGCCCUGGUUGACAGUCGACAUGGUGUACUGAUACAUGUGAGGAGCCUGAGGAGGAGACGAGUUUGUUAGUUUAAAUGUUCAUUUAAAUGAUCCGACGGAGCAUCGAUGGGUUUUUCCUGAGUGCUGCAACAAUAUAAAACACACCGAUGUCUGAACGCUGCUUGAACCAACGCUUUUUUGACUUCACAUGAUGGACAAUACAUGAAGAGCUCACAGAAUAAGUCUCUGUAAGAGCCGGAAGGGUUUGUAUCACUUCUUGGAAUAUUAAUCGUUUCAUUUACGUUGUAAAUGUAACAUAUACUGAGAGCAUUUGUGUCGGAUUGAAGCUCCCUGGGUCUCGAUUUAUUGGCGUCAUGUUGCAGAAGAGCUGCGUUUAUCUGCUGAGACGCUUUGCUGCGUAAAAUAAAGACAAAACGAGGAGAAUGAGAUGAUUCAUUCAUUCAGUCUGCAGCUCAUUGACAAACAAGGAAGGAACGCGGCUCCGCCCCCAGGUUACUGCGCCCCCAGGUUACUCCGCCCUCGGUUUACUGCGCGGAACACAUUGGAAAGUGUCGGCGUCGCGUACGGAGCCGAUGGACGAAGAGAGACGUGCUGCUCGUCGCCCUUAAAUCCAGGUGGGUGGUGAGGUUUUUUUGGCCAGGCAGUGCAUGUAUUUGUAUUUGUAUUUGUAUACACAUGUGUGUAUAGUUCAGACCUGGAUCUGGUGUCCCUGGAUGUGGAGGGGGGAGACGUAGGACAGGUAAUGUCCAGGUGGGUUGCCGUAGAUGGCUCCUCCCCCUGGCUGUCCCUGAGGAGCCAGGACCAAUGAGGGGCUGGGGGGCGUGGGUCGAGGGGGGGUGGGGGUCGGCGCCGGCUUCUGUCACAACGCACAGAGAGAGACGGAUCAACAAAGACCGACGAGUGAAGCUGAGCUUCAGCAGGACUCACCUGGACCGGGGGCACCUUCACGGGGAGGAACUCCUUGGCGUUGGGGUUCAGGGUGGAGUUCUUCACUUGGCUGCCAUGAAAAGACGUUCAGCAACAAAAAGCAAAUGUUAAGAAGGAGUUUGUGUCCCAGAGGCAAGCUAAGCUAAGCUAAGCUAAGCUAAGCUAACCCGCUACGACCUCCUGCUGCAGAGCUCUGAUUGGCCCAGACGCGUCUUUGUUCACGUCGAGCUCCAGCAGGAUGCCGCGGUUCGUUACUCACGCUGUGGCUGCGGCUUCGGGUCGCUCGCCUCGCUCUUCGCCGCCGGGGGGCGUCGGCUGCUGCCCCUCCGGCGCCGGACCCUCAGGCCCGGAGGAUACGCCUUGGUGGGGGUCUUGGGCGGAGGAGGAGGAGGCAGGUUUGGGCGGGGCUUGCUGACGGACAGGAGGCGGGCUGCAGCUGAGAGACGGAGCGAUGAAGCGGUGAAUGAGUCAUAUGACAGUAAUGUUCUCACAUGAGGUACUUCUACACAGUCUGUGUACUAAUGCAGUACAUCAGAACAUCCUAACAGGAAACCUAUCUUGUACUAUUGUGUACGGAUCAUUUUAUGAUUAGAACACAUUGAUUCAUGUUUUACUAUUGAUCUGUGAUAAUUAAAGCGCACUGAUCAGCAACAUUAAUUCAAACAUAUUAAAG